UACAGGGGGUGCAAACGUUGCUCGGAGUUAUUGGGCGUAAAGCGCACGUAGGCGGUUCGUUAUGUCAGAUGUGAAAGCCCUUGGCUCAACUGAGGAAGUGCAUCUGAAACUGGCGAGCUAGAGUAUGUAAGAGGGUCGCGGAAUUCCCGGUGUAGAGGUGAAAUUCGUAGAUAUCGGGAGGAACACCGGUGGCGAAGGCGGCGACCUGGGACAAUACUGACGCUGAGGUGCGAAAGCGUGGGGAGCAAACAGG
rnacentral:rRNA from 1 species